AUAGAAGUGGUGUGAUCUGAGCAGUCUUAGAAUCCUUCCAGCAGUUGUGUGGAGAGCAGACUCGUGAGUAGGCUACUGCAGUAAUCCAGGUGAAAGGUCUGGGUGGCCUGGACCAGUUUGAGACAGAGGUUCACAGGUGAAGAAAUACUUCAAUGCAUGUAAUGUGCAUCCUAGAUGGUGCAUAUGCAAUUUUGGAUGAAGCUAACUGACCAAGGGACACCAGGAGGGACACGGAAACCUAGAGAAGUAUGGAGAAAAGACGGGAAGCACUUGUUCUCCAACCGCUCGCUGAAGCAACGCUGCGGGCGUUUUCAGUGAUGAGCUUGGAGUGCCCCGCUGUGGAAGGAGAUGUGCACUACAAUUUCUUUCUUACAGGUGAGUUUAUAGUUGGCUGCUGAUUUGGAAACCUUAUAGUUCUUCACCUCUGCCCACCAUGAGGUCGGAUGUUACUUUACUGUUAACAAAUGUGAAUUCAGUCUCACUCCUUUUCUUCCAUGAAACAUAAAUAUUUGUUGAAAAGAAUGAAUGGACGGGGACUUCCCUGGCAGUCCAGUGGUUAAGACUUCCCCUUCCAAUGCAGGGGGUGCGGGUCUGAUCCCUGGUCAGGGGAACUAAGAUCCCACAUGCCUCCCGGCCAAAAAACCAAAACAUAAAACAGAAGCAAUAUUGUAACAAGUUCAAUAAAGACUUUAAAAAUGGUGCAUGUCAAAAAAAUCUUUAUAAAAAGGAAUGAAUGGACGAAUGAAUCCUUUGGUCUCUCUUCCAAAAGCUUUGCAUUUAUUUUCUUGCAAAACCCAGAGCUGUGUUAGUACCCAUUAUGACAUUUUGGAGCAGGUAGAAUGAAAUGACAAGGAGCACAAAUAGGUGUGAUCUCGUGUCGCAGCUCUCAACAAUUGGCAGUGGCUGCCACAGAAGGAGUCUGAGGCCAAGUGCUGGCUCAAAAGGAAGGGUGAUGUGAUGCGUGAGCAUGAUGCAAAAAGGAAGUUAAUCACUCUCUGCCUUAGGAGCUGAAACCUGUAUAACUGAUCUAUAACACUGCUAGCCAUUGGCUAAUGGUCACUGAGUUUGUUUAGCCUAUGUCAGUCUUUGUUUUCAUCUCAAAAACAAAACAGUAUAUUUACUAUUUACCCUGCCAAACAAUAAAUCCCAUUUUUAUUUAUGUGAUAAUAAUUAAAAAGCUCUCCCUACAUAAUUAUUGCUGUAGCCUCUACCCUGGUUUUCCAGAUGCUGACCUGUUCAGUCCUUCUUGUGAUGUUCUAUUCCUCAAACUACUUUGAUCUAUGUGCCUCUCUGUGCUGGUGUUCCCCUAGUCAUGCAGCUUAUAAGUAGGAACUGGUAGAGGCGGGUAUUAAUAAUCAUGGUGGCAUAAACUGGGGCUGUCCUGGGCAAAUCAGGACAUGUAGUCACCCUACUUGUAAACCCUAAAGUUCAAGGGCCAGGGUCACUGUGUACUCCUAGAAUGUGGUGAGCAACUGGGUAACCACACACCUGCUAAGCUCACAGCUCCAUGAAUUCCCCUCAAUAAAUCUUCAGAAACUGUAUGUGCUGCCUGGUCAUCACUCUUAUUUGCUUGACAGCAGAAAUGGUUAAUGACAAAUCCCAGACUCUUUGCAAGCUUCCAACUAACUCCUGGAGGAAACUGAGAUAUCUGCCCAGAAGAUUGCCUACUACUGUACCCUCAGAGGUUGAGUACAGAGAUGACACUUAAUUACCCAGAACCCUGGAACCAGCAUGCUUCUACUUUACACAGUCUAUAUGUCCCUGAAAAAGUAUACAUUAGGUGAUACAUCAGGGAAAUCACAUUUUAAAUUCACUGGAGAGAAUGGCUAAAUAAUGAAACCUUGUAGUGAGCCUCCUAUAAGAAUUUUUAAACUCCUUUUAAAAUGCAAAUAAUUUACUGUUUUAUAAAUCUGGAUUUUGGUAGAGUUGGUUUUCUUAAAGCAGAAAGUGUGACCUAGAACUUUGGUUUCCCUCAGAGGUAAGGAACCUUUAUCUGAGUCAUAUUUUCAAGUUAUACUCUAAAUGGAGAUAUUUUCAUUAGGACGCUUUUAACUGCAAGUAACCAAAACCCACAUCUGUCUUAUACAAUGAAGAUGAUGCAUUGGUUCAUAUAACUGAAAAUUCCAGUUCAAGCUUUAAGCAAGGGUUAAUCCAGCGGCUCUAAUAGUGUCACCAAACUGUUAGUUUCUUUCCAUUUUUCUGCUUUAUCUUGACAGGUACUGUCUUCAUGUUAAGGGCAGUGAAGUGAAUUAAUGAAAUCACCAACAUUAUCAUAGCUAUGUGAAGGAGGUAACUCAAUGUUCUCUAAGAAGGAAUAAGAGAUAAAGUAACAAAGUUGUUUGAAUCAAGAUAUUUUUUCAUGAAAUAAUCUACAGAUUAAACAGUGUUUAAGGAAAACAACUUUGUUGAGAGCCUGUUUAGGUCCAUGAUGGAGGAAACUGUCCUCCCUUUUUCUUUUUCUUUUCUUUUUUUUAUUGAAAUAUAGUUGAUUUGCAAUAUUGUGUUAGCUUCAGGUGUACAGUAAAGUAAUUGAGUUACAUUAUUUUCAGAUUAUUUUCCAUUAUAAGUUAUUACAAGAUAUUGAAUAUAGUUCCCUGUGCUAUACAGUAAAGUAAAUCAUUACUGCUUAUCUACUUUUUGUAUAGUAGUUUGUAUCUGUUAAUCCCAUACUCCUAAUUUAUCCUCCCCCCCACACUUCCCCUUUGGUAACUGUAAGUUUGUUUUCUAUGUCUGUGAGUUUGUUUCUCUUUCAUAUAUAGAUUAAUUUGUAUUAUUUUUUGAUUCCACAUAUAAGUGAUAUCAUGUAAUAUUUCUCUUUCUCUGUCUGACUUCUCUUAGUAUGAUAAUCUCUAGGUCCAUCCAUGUUGUUGCAAAUGGCAUUAUUUCAUUCUUUUUUAUGGCUGAGUAAUAUCCCAUUGUAUAUAUAUACAACAUCUUCUUAAACCGAUCAUCAGUUGUUGGGCAUUUGUGUUGUUUCCAUGUCUUGGCUAUUGUAAAUAAUGCUGCUAUGAACAUUGGGGUGCAUUAUCUUUUCAAAUUAGAGCUUUUGUCUUUUCUGUGUAUAUGCCCAGGAGGGGGAUUGCAGGAUCAUAUGGUAGCUCUAGUUGUAGUUUUUUAUGGAAACUCCAUACUGUUUUCCAUACUGGCUGCACCAAUUUACACUUCCAACAACAGUGUAGGAGAGUUCCUUUUUCUCCAUACCCUCUCCAGCAUUUAUUAUCUGUAGACUUUUUGAUGAUAGCUAUUUUGACUGGUGUGAGGUGAUACCUCAUUGUGAUUGUGAUUUGCAUUUCUCUGAUAAUUAGUGAUGUCAAGCAUGUUUUCAUGUUGUCCAUCUGUAUGUCUUCUUUAGAGAAAUGUCUGUUUAGGUCUUCUGCCCAUUUUUGGAUUGGAUUGGGUUUUUUUUUUUUGAUAUUGAAUUGUAUGAGCUGUUUGUAUAUUUUGGAUAUUAACCCCUUGUCAGUCACAUCACUUACAGACAUUUUCUCCCACUCUGUAGAUCAUCUUUUCAUUUUGUUGAUGGUUUCCUUUGAAUGUGCAGAAGCUUUUAAGUUUUAUUAGGUCCCAUUUGUUUAUUUUUGCUUUUAUUUCUUUUGCCUUGGGAGACUAACGUAAGAAUAUACUGAUAUAAUUUAUGUCUGAGAAUGUUUUGUCUGUGUUCUCUUCUAGGAAUUUUAUGGUGUCAUUUUGUAUAUUUUGGUCUUUAAACCAUUUUGAGUUUAUUUUUGUACAUAGUGUGAGAGACUGUUCUAAUUUCAUUGAUUUACAUGUAGCUGUCCAGCUUUACCAACACCACGUGUUGAAGAGACUGUCUUUUCUCCAUUGUUUAUUCUUGCCUCCUUUAUUGAAGAUUAAUUGACUGUAGGUGUGUGGGUUUAUUUCUGAGCUCUGUAUUCUGUUUCAUCGAUCUAUAUGCCUGUUUUGUGGUAAUACCAUGCUGUUUUGAUUACUGUAGCUUUUCAGUAUUGUCUGAAGUCUGGAAGAGUUAUGCCUCCAGCUUUGUUCUUUUUCCUCAGUUUUACUUUGGCAAUUCUGGGUCUUUUAUGGUUCCAUAUAAAUUUCAGGAUUAUUUGUACUAGUUCUAUGAAAAAUGUCAUGGGUAUUUUGAUAGGGAUCACAUUAAAUCUGUAGAUUGCUUUGGGCAGUAUGGCCAUUUUAAAAGUAUUAUUUAUUCCAAUACAAUAGCAUGGGGUGUCUUUCCAUUUCUGUAUCAGUGUUUUGUAGUUUUCAGUGUAUAGGUCUUUCACCUCCUUGGUUAAGUUUAUUCCUAGGCUGUUUUUUGUUGUUGUUGUUGUUUUGAUGUUAUUUUUAAUGGGUUGUUUUUUCUGGCAUUUCAUUGUUAGUGUAAAGGAAUGCAACAGAUUUCUGUAUAUUAAUGUUGUAUUUUAAUACCUUGUUGAAUGCAUUUAUUAGUUCUAAUAGUUUUUGUGUGGAGUCUUUAGGGUUCUCUAUAUAGAGUAUCAUGUCAUCUGCAAAUAGUGACAGUUUUACCUCUUCCCUUCCAGUUUGGAUACCUUUAUUUUUCUUGUCUAAUUGCUGUGGCUAAUGUCCUCCCUUUUUCUACUGCACACUAUUUAGUGUGGUAGUGAGAGAAGGUUGUGGUGAAUACUAGCAUGUACCCCACCUUCACAUAUUACACCGGACUGAUAGUGCUAGGAGAAACCUUAGAGAACACUUGGUCUUGCCUCUUUAGUGUACUGGGGAACUAACUAAGACCCAGAGAUGGGGAGUGAACACAAAUUUCAUUUUAUGAGAGUUGAAGAGACACUUUAAAAUGUGAAGGAGGAUCAAGCCUCUGCAUGCCCACACUUGUUUAUUUGUCAACAAAUAGCACCUGAAAAUCAGAGUCUUACCCAGAGCUUCCACCACUCCAGACCAACUUGCCCCUCCCUACCCUGCCCAUGAAGACUCUGUGGUGCAAUUUCAGAAAGUAAGUUCACUUCAAUCUGCUACUCACACCUUCUUCUUGCCUUAAAAUGGUGUUUUCUGAAUUGAGAUACACAUACAUCAAAGGAUACAUUGUAUAUUGUAGAAAAAUAUAACUGGUAUAUCAAGCUCAUGAUUUCACCAAGAUUAUUGUUCAGAAUAAGACUAUAGUUGAUUUAUCAGUGGUAGUCCACCUUAAACAGCACAUUUUUAACUUUAAGUGUAUGAUUCAGAGAUACCUGUGAAACUUCUACAUAGUCAAAUUUACACACUGCUGCAUUCACAGAAAAACAGUGACUGCUCUGGAUAUGUAUGAAGAUUUAAGAGAAAAAUUUUAUAAAAUUUUAAAGACUGUCAGUCUCAUUAAUGUCAAGCCAUCGAUCUCUUUGCUGUUUUAUCUAUCUUUUUAGAGAGAUGGAGCUCACUGGCCUUCACUCAGAAAUGUUCUCACUCUUCUAUUUGUUUUGUAAGAAAUGCCAAGUCUUUUCUGUAUGUAAUCUUCAGUCUGCCAAAUUAUAUGCAUGACUUGUGUUGGUGUUAAAAGAUAAUUGCUCAUUUGAACAUUCUAAAUCAAACCUUCCAUGGCAAGUUUACAUUCCACAUGCAAGACAAAGUGAAUAGGAAGAUCAUAAAACUGGAGCUGUGAGGAACACUGCUUGAUCAUGGUGAAUAAGAUAGGUUUUGAUGUCUGAAUUACUUUUUUUAAACUCAGCUGAAGAUCUAGUUGUAAAUAUUUUAAACCUUAUUAAAGAGACACUUGAAAAAAAGGUAUCAGAUUUCCUUUUCUGGAAGUAAGAGGAACUAAAUAUUCUGAAAAGUCCUCCCACCACAAAAACAGAUAGAUCCUGAUAAAACAUUCUUUAUUGCAUGUCUGAAAGCAUAAGAAAAAGGGUAAUUUUUCAGGAUACUCUCUCCAAAAAUAAAUUUCAAAAAUGCAGAAUGAUGAGCAGUAAUAAUAAGGGAAAGGUAGAGUGGCCUAAAGGCACAAGCCAAUAUUAGAGCUGAGGUAGCUGAACUAAGUCUUGGGCUAGAAGUAAGUACAAAAGUUGAACUUGAGAGUCCCACAUUAAGCUGACAUUUCUUAAAGGAAGAUAAAAUGUUCCAGGUCAAUACUCUCCCUGAUUCCUAGCAAAAGUACAAAUAAAUGUUUUCUGAAGAAAACCACCCCACUGUAUUACCAAAAGAUUCCCACAGAUUAAGAGCAAGCAGUUAUGAGCUCAAAAUCAAAAUCAGAAAGUACAUGUGGAAAGAAGACACUAUUAUUGCAAGUCAUCAGUAACUACAAACAGAUUCAGGUCCCUAAGGAAUUCAUAUUUUGGCAAUGUCAGAUACAGAAUAUAAUAUUUCUGUAUAUAAUCUGUUCAGAUAAUUAAAGAUGUUUUCACAGAACAAGUAAUUGUUAAGGGACUAUCAAAAAUAUUCCGCAGGGGCUUCCCUGGUGGCGCAGUGGUUGAGAGUCUGCCUGCCGAUGCAGGGGACAUGGGUUCGUGACCCGGUCUGGGAAGAUCCCACAUGCUGCGGAGCGGCUGGGCCUGUGAGCCAUGGCCGCUGAGCCUGUGCAUCCGGAGCCUGUGCUCUGCAACGGGAGAGGCCACAACAGUGAGAGGCCUGCUUACCGCAAAAAAAAACAAAAACAGAAAAACCAAAAAAAAAUAUUGCGCAGAUUUGAAAAAAUGAAAACAAAAGGAACUUUUGGAAAUAAAAAAUGUAAUUGUUGAAAAAGAAAACUUAAUAAUGGAGGGCUUCCCUGGUGGUGCAGUGGUUAAGAAUCUUGCCUGCCAAUGCAGGGGACACGGGUUCGAGCCCUGGUCCAGGAAGAUCCCACAUGCCAUGGAGCAACUAAGCCCAUGCGCCACAACUACUGAGCCUGCGCUCUAGAGCCCGCACACCACAACUACUGAGCCUACGUGCCACAACUACUGAAGCCUGCAUGCCCUAGAGCCCGUGCUCUGCAACAAGAGAAGCCACCACAAUGAGAAGCCACCUCAAUGAGAAGCCUGUGCACCGCAAUGAAGAGUAGCCCCCACUCACUGCAACUAGAGAAAGCCCGCAUGCAGCAAUGAAGACCCAAUGCAGCCAAAAAUAAAUAAAAUUAAUUAAUAAUUAAAAAAAACUUAAUGGAUGGUUUAAAUUGCAGAUUAGAUGUGAACGAAGAGAGAAUUGGUGAACUGGAAGAUAUAUCUGAAAGAAUAUCCAGGAUCCAGUUUAGAGAAAAAAGGAGAUAAAAGUUAAGAUAGAGAUUGAAAGUUGCGGAGGAUAAAAUGAAAAACUUUAAAAUACAUCCAGUCAGAAUCCUAAAGAAAAAAAUACAAUGGAGGAACUGCAAUAUUUGAAGAGAAAAUGAUCAAGAAUUUUCCAAAACUGAUGAGAUACAUAAGCUCCUAAGUAAAGAAAGUCAAUAUAUAAUAAGCAAGAUAAAUAAAAAGAAACCCACAAAGAUACAUUGUAAUGAAAUUGCAGAUCACAAAAAACAAAAAGAUUUUGAAAGCAACCUGAAAGAAAAGCAAUGAUUAGAUUCUCAACAGUAACAAUAGAAAGCAAAAAGACAGGAAAUUAUAACUUCCUAAUUGAGAAAAAUGAACUGUCAACUUUAAAUUAUGUAUUCAGCAAAACUAUCUUUUCAGAAAUAAUGAUAAAAUGAAGACAUUUUCAGCUGAACAAAAACCUAGAGAGUUUGCCAUCAACAGAUUUUCACCAUAGGAACUUCUAAAGAAUGUGCUUCAGUAAGAAAGAAAAUUAUUGCUAAAGGAAAGUCUGAAAGGCAAAUUAAUAGUGAACAAAUUGGUAAAGAUGUAGAUAAUUUUAAAUGACAUCAUAGGCAUAAAAAAGAGAAAGAAAGGGGCAAGGAGGAAGAAGAUGAAAAAGAAAGGAGGAAGGGGAGGAGGUAUUCUAAUUUACAGUGUUUAAACAAUAAAGUAUAGAACUAAAGUUCUUGCCUUCAAUAGCAUUUGGAGAUUCAUCAGUCUCCAAAUUUUGGGUUUAAUUCACUAAUCAGAAGUGAAUAGCUUAUGGAAAGUGUUCUAAGAUCCUUGCAUUGUUCAGGAGUUCAUUUAACAUAUUAACUUACUUUAAACUUAAAUUUCAUAUGUAUGAUAAAAUUUCAAUAUUAAUUACUAAAAGAAUAUGAUAUAUUAUUUUUAACUGGUUGAGGGGGGAAAUGGUUAAGAAAAAAUUUAAACUAAAAAACUGAAUUAAUCUUAAAAAGGCAAAGGAAGGAAAGAAGCAAGUGAAACAGGAAAAUUUACAUUGAUAGAAGCAAGUCCAAAUAUAACAAUAAUGGCAAUAAAUAUAAAUGAAUUAAAUACAGGUUAAAAGAAAAAGUCCAUU